CAGAUCCAAUACAGCAGUAGGUUCAAACUCAGUUUCCCUAAGGGCCACAUUGGAAAAUAAGAAUCACAUCACGGGCCAGACAUUUAGAGUUUAUUUACAUGCUUUCAUUUUGAAAAAGUCAAAUAUCUUUGACUGUAUUAUUGCAUGUCUCAUACAGUUUUCUCCCUUACAGUUUGGUUGACAUAAAGCCCUAAAAAAGUCAGCAAAAAAGUUCCUUAGCCAUUAUAGAAAAAAGGUCGAAAAAAGCAACAAAAACAACUUAAAAAAAACGUGGGGAAAAAAGCGCCAAAAGCAUCGGCAAAAGU